AUUCACCAUGUAUUCUUCUUCUCGUAUCAAAUCACGUACAGAUGAUAAUGCAUUGGUAUAUUGGGUGCAAAAGUGGCGAGCACAUUUAACUGCAGAUUUUGCAUGUGCACACUAAAGUC